AUUGAACGCUGGCGGCAGGCCUAACACAUGCAAGUCGAGCGGAGCGGCGGACGGGAGAGUAAUGCCUAGGAACCUGCCUGGUAGUGGGGGAUAACGUCCGGAAACGGGCGCUAAUACCGCAUACUAUCAGAUGAGCCUAGGUCGGAUUAGCUAGUUGGUGGGGUAAAGGCCUACCAAGGCGACGAUCCGUAACUGGUCUGAGAGGAUGAUCAGUCACACUGGAACUGAGACCCGGUACAGGCGCCUACGGGAGGCAUCAGUGGGGAAUCUUGGGCAAUUGGCGCGAGCCUGAUCCAGCCAUGCCGCGUGUGUGAAGAAGGUCUUCGGAUUGUAAAGCACUUUAAGUUGGGAGGCGUUACCAACAGAAUAAGCACCGGCUAACUCCGUGCCAGCAGCCGCGGUAAUUC
rnacentral:rRNA from 1 species